rnacentral:lncRNA from 1 species
UUCCUGUCUGUGAAGUGGUGCAGUUUAUCUUUAAGGAGGCUAGAGAAAUAAGAAAUGAGUCUCACGUUGCAUGGGUGACAUCACUGGCUUUUGGCUCAGUGCUCUGUAUUCUCUGUCUGUAGGCUUUAGCCAAGGCUGCAGGGCUCAGUGUUUGAACAAGGAAAGAUUCCCAGGUGUACAGAAGAUUGGAUACGCUCUUAUUUGGGUUAAAAACAGUGAAAUGAGAUUUCUAAAGCUUGCAGACCCCAGCUCGCCUUCUGUUUCUCUUGAUCGCUCCAAGAUGGAUGGUUAACGUGCCUGUGUGUUAGGAAAACUGUGCACAACAAAUUGAAGCGUUGGUGAAGAAGGAAGCUUUUCAAAUAACGGCGGAAGGGGGUGGAAAAAUGAUGCUGGGGCUGAGGACUGCUUCCAGUGCUGCCUAGCGGGAGGUGCAUGGUCUGUGGCGGUGGCUCCGGCAUCGGCUCUGACUCCUUCCAGCCACCUUGCAUGCUGACCGGGACCAGGGAGGCUGCUGCACUGCUGUAGGUGGGAGAGCCCAACCGCUGCUCUGUUAGUAAUUCGGGGCUCUCGAGCUCCAGCUGGUCGAGGGAAGGGAUCGUUACGUUACGUUGCCUUGAUGACAGCGCAGACAACAAAACAAACCGAGUGAACGGCAAGGCUGGCAGGGAGAAGCUGAGGUGUUUUGGAAGCGAAGAUGUCAGUGACUGUGAGCAAAGUCUGCUGAGGGGGAGACCCGUGCCUGCCUGAAUUUCCUAUUACAGCCGGGGAGGUUAUAUUUUAGCCACGAUUUCAAACAGCAGCAGCAACAACAACAGAUUGCUCCCCCUCUUGCUCCCUCCCCUUCCACCCUGCUUUAAACCCAAGCAAGCGACUGUCCAGAUGAUACUCUCGGCGAGCUGCUGACAAAGAAAAGGCAAGUCCCCGAUUCUUGCCACCGGGAUAGUUGGCUGCUUGAGACUGGAAGAUUUCUCACUGUUGAACUUUUCUGUCCUGUGAUGCUGCGGUGAACCUGCUAUCUGAAAGCUAUCGCCUCUGUAUUUCCGAGCUGGCCAGAUGGAAAGAGAUUAAUGGACUGAUCAAACAGCCAUAGCCUUCAAGUCUCUGGCAGGGGCUACUCCUUCCGCACACACAGCCGUGUGGGCUCUUGUGGGGAGGGGAGCAGGACACCUUUGUGGAGGUGCUUCCCCGGGCCGCUCCCGCGCCUAGUGGAGGGCUGCGUUUCUCCUCGUCAGGUCUCUGCUGCCAAGGAAGGAGGCAGAUGAGACGCCAGGACUGCCUCCAGGGCAGAACUU